rnacentral:snRNA from 1 species
AGCUUUGCGCAGUGGCAGUAUCGUAGCCAAUGAGGUUUAUCCGAGGCGCGAUUAUUGCUAAUAGACACUGUUGCUUAUAAGACUGAAUAAUUGAAAGAUGUAACUCUAA